rnacentral:lncRNA from 1 species
UUGUUACAAGUUAUGACAAUCUGUUUGUCUAAACACAUAUAUGAAAAAACAUACUCUGAGUGGAUAUUAGUAUGCUGAUAGAUUGGGUACACCGUUUAUCUUCUUCUCUUAUCCUAAAUAGUUCGUAAAUUGCUACAUGUUAUGACAAUAUGUUUGUCUAGACAUGUAUAUGAAAAAAAAAAUACUCUGAGUGGAUAUUAGUAUGGUGAUAGAUUGGGUACACCAUUUAUCUUCUUCUUUUGUCAUAAAUAGUUCGUAAAUUACUACAUGUUCUGACAAUUUGUUUGUCUAAAUACAGAUAUGAAAAAAUAUACUCUGAGUGACACAAGUAUGAUCACUUCAUUCGCAUUUUCUUUAUUCAUUAUUGAGUCCAAAUCACAAGAUGGAGAAAAGCAAAUGAAAAUAAGCUAAAAACUGAAUUGAUUUAAUUGUAAACUUUAAGCAUAAACAAUGUGUAUCAACAGUGUGAUUCAACCGAAGCCAAAACAAGUUGAGGUUCUUCCAUUGCAGAAUCGCAUGUUCCAUCAAUUGCAUUGUUCUUCCCCAAUACCUUCAAUGCUAAAUGAGCUGCCUUCUGCCCUGAUAUCAUCAUAGCUCCAAAUGUUGGACCCUACAAAAAUCACCAACAAAAGCGUGAUCACAUCUUAAUCAAAUGUUUCUUACCAUCUUCAAGUUAAUUGCACUAAAAUCAAUUAAUUUGCACUUGAAAAGAUCUAAAAAAAACCUGAUAUUAAUUUUCACAUUACUUUAAUCACUUCUUAAAUCAAAGAAGGUUCAAGAAACAACGAGCAACAACAUGUGAAGAGGUAAAAAAAAGGGUUGGAAAGAACAAGAUCAGCUACUAUUAGAAUUAGACAAAUGAUUAACGUGCCAAUUUGUACACAGAUGAAGAGCAGUGUCUUCCCUCCUCUUUUUUCACUUAAGAAAGGAAAAUUAGAGAGGUAAAUUAAAUUUCAAAGAUUAUUAUGGAAGCUCAAGCUUAUAAUUUAGUUUGAUGAAUAAGUUUGUUUGUUUUAUUUCUUUUAUUGGUUGGUUAUUAUUAUUAUUCCAACAAACUAUGUGUUGUUGCCUUUGGUGUAGAAUAGGUGUUAAUUUGGAUGGAUCUGAGAAAAUUAUUACAAUGUAAAUCCUGACUUGUAUAAUCAUUGGAUUGUGCAUGCAUUGCAUUGGAGUUGGCAUCAUCACUAAAGCCAAAAAUAUGUUUCUGCUUUGUCUGAAUAGCUGACCAAGAAGGAGGAGAUAUUUCACAUGAUAGAUGCAGAGUUGUUCUGCAUGUGAGUCCCACAUGAGCAUCUAACAUCCACAAACAUUUGAAUCAGAGGAUGCUAUAUCAAUUAUUAUCAAAUUAAUAUCUGUGAGUUUGUAAGAUUUUUCUAGGAAAACAUAAUAUAAAGACCAUAAUUUGAGUGUAUGCCUUUUGCCUUGCCCAAGUAAAUAUUUUUUUAAGAUGCCAAUUGCCAAGCAUUUGAUUUGAAACACAAAAGUUAUUAGUCAUGUGACAAGUUUAUUUUAUAUUAGCGGUGUAAAUAAUAAUAAUUUGUCCAUUCUUUUGGUCAUAUUUACGAGAAAAAAUAGAUCGAAUAAAAUUGAUGUAUUUAAUCUAAAAUUUGAAGAGAGUAUAUUUUUGUUGAGAUUUUUUUUAGAAGUUGAAUCUUGAGACUCACAGGUUAUAGUUGAGAGUUUCUUUGUGACUAUAACUAAUAGUAUAGGAUUGAAAGAAGUUUGAUACAUUAAUAUCAUAACAAAGUUUCAAGAAUAAAAGAAGCUAAUGAUUGGGAAGUAUGAAACACUAAAUUAGAAUCAACCUUUGUAUAGCACAAAGGGUUCGUUUUAGGGAUGGGGCAUAUAAACUAGGUGUGUUGAUAUUUAAAAUUAUGAUCAUUGGGAUGUGACUUAGCAAGGAAUAUUUUUGCCAAUCACUUUCAAUGACUUAUCUUUAAUCGCGAUUGGAAAUUAAAUCAUGUACAAAGACAUGUUUAGUCUGUCAGUUAUUUCAAUAGAUUAGACUCUACACCUGCAUAUACUUUAAUUUUUGUCAUAUUCCAUUCAAUACUCUCCGCUUCUUUUCCCUGUCAAUUUGAGGGUAUGGAAUGGAGUGGGAUUUCCCUAUUUUUUUUCUCUUUAAUUCUCCUCUUUAUUAUUAUAGUUUUGAGUUAUUUAAAGUUACCUAAUAUCACAUUAGCCGUUGCACUGUGUAGAAGUAGCAGGGGGUCCAUUUUCGAAAAUGGAGAGCAUAAAAAGUGAAAGAGGAUACAUUUCCGUGGAAUGUAAUCCAUACACUUUGCAUUCCAUUAUAAAAUUAUUCAAUACAAUGAUAGUUUUUUAUUCAAUUAUACUUCUUCUAUUCCAUUCCAUUUCAAUCUGAUAUUAAUAAACCUGAGUUUUCUAGCAUGAGACCGUUAUAAGUUUUUUCUUUUUUAAAAUACAUGUAGUACACUAAAACCAGAAUAUAAAACGAGUAUGAAAAACAAAAAACACCAAAAAGGCAUGAACUUUUUUAAUAAAAUAAUAAAUAAUGCCUAUACAAUGAUAACAGAACAUUCUAACUUUCAAGGAACUGAGAAUCAAAGUUGAAUGAAUCUGUUCCACCAAUCAGAAAGUACACUCCAAGUCAAAACAAUAAAUCUAUAUGCUCUUAUCAAGAGAAGGUUGAGUUGAAGUUCGACCUUCGGUUUUCGAGUUGAAAAUGAAGAAUUUCCACCAAAAUCAGAAUAAUCCAAGCACGCAAAAAAUCUUGACAAAAGGAAAGUCUUUAUCUCAAGGUGCUGGAGGUGACAAGAAACUAUUGCCGGAAGUUCUGUUGAUAAAUAUAUGCUUAAUAAGUCAGAAAACCAACAAUGGUAGAACUCAUGAUGUCAAGGAUAAAAUGUUUACUUAUUUACCUGAUGAUAAGUCCUGGUUUUCCAAUAAGAUUUGCUGGAAUUUGACCAGUCAAAUUGUUAUUUUGUAAAAAUCUGCUUACAACAAAGGAAGAGAAGAAAUUUAUGAGAACUGAAGGGUAACUAGCUGAUCUUCCACACACACUGGUAUUGCAGUGCAUUUACUGCCUCGUUUGAAGAUGUUGUCAUUCUAUUUUCAGGAAGUAAUCAAGAGAAAUAAUACUUAACCAACUAGAAGAAGCUUAUCUUUUAUUGACAAAUUUAUUAGAUUGAUUGGCAUCAAAGUAUGCAACAACUGAACAAUCAAUUCUCUUAUUUUUUCAAUAUUAUGCAUGUUUGGCUCUGAUGCUCCGUAAUCUAAACAAGUAUGGUAAGAUAAUAAGCAUGUAUUACUCAUAUAAUGAUACAACACAUAAGUAGAACUUACAUUUCUUUUAAGCUGCCAAUGUUCCCUAGGGAUGAUGAAAUCAAGAUCUUCUUGUUAGAGAGCUUGCUCAUCAGGAAAAAUGGAAAAGGUGUCCCAAAUGCAAAUUCUAUAUCAAAAAAUUUGAAGGCUGUUUGCAUAUCACAUGCAGUUAGUGAGUCGCAUUAUUAUGUUUUUAUACUGAUAUUAGGCGGCGUAAGUCAUCUUUGCAAAAUGAAACAGGAAGGAUGAGGGACCACUCUUUCAUAAGUGGUGCUCGAUAGAUGGGUUUUCAUAUGUUUUUAUAUAGAACUUAGAUCAUUCGAACAAAACUAGCUGCUAAAGCGAAGGGUUUAAGUUUUUGAGUCUAGUGAGUUUGCGAUAUCACUGUAAAACUACAUUGUGCUAACAUCCAACAACCACCCUUUAUUUUGGUAGUGUAAAAAUUCCAUGAUAUUUUAAAAUUAAUGGCUCUUAUUUACUGGUAGUGUAAAUUAAUGGCUCUUACAUCCACGAUCUAUUUUCUUUAGGUUUUUAUUUAUUAUUUUUGGAAAAGAAGAAAACCAUAUCAGGUAAGUCAGUUUUCUUCACAACUAUACAACUCUUUGUUUGGAAACAUAAGAAAAGGGAAGAAAAAAAUUGUUUGCAUUUUAAACAUGAUCAUGCAGUUUUUGAGUUUAUCAUCAAAAGGGUAAUUAUGUGUAAAAAAAAAUAGUGUAAAUUGUUUUUUUUUUUACUUGAAUUGUGAAUAAGAAUAAGCCGGUGGUGUUUAUUUGCAGGUGCCGAUUCGAAUUUUGCUAUGCUUGCGGUGAAAAAUGGACAUCUAACCAUAGUGAUUGCCAACGAAGCUAGAUAGAUUUGACAGGUUUAAUAAAGAAUGAUAGUGUAUAUGGAUAUCACUAUUAUUUCUGAUUUUCAUAAAGUAGGUAGUUUGUUGGUCGUCUUGACGUGGAUAUCACGAUUAUUAGCUAGUUUAGUAUGACGUUUUUUUUUAUGCUUGUAAGAAAAAAAUGUUGCAUGGUCCUUUUGAAAGUAUACAUGCUAAGUUGCUAUUGCUUAACAUGAAUCAUGCAUGUCUUGAUCUUACUCCUGUUCUUAUGUUUAUGUUGGUCUUACACUAUUCUUCUACCCAGUUGUUCACAUUAGAAUAAUCUUCUCGAGUUCUAACAUUUCCUUCUGUUAUUAAGAAUUGUAACAAAACCAGCAGUGACGCUAUAAUUGUCAGGCUGCAACUGGGCGUUAAGUUUCGCGCCUUUGCACUAAUGCACUGUCAAUUGGCAUAUCAUUAUGUGAUUUCCUGUCAAAUAAAUUUUCCGAAAUUUCUACUUAGUUUUGUUUUUUUUAUAAAAAGGAUCGGAUGCCAACUAGUAAUGUUUUGUGGCCGCCAUUUUUAGAGGAUGCCAUGAUAGGUCAUCACUCAAAUUAAGUGUUUCAAUAUAUUUCAGUUAUCUUAAUUUUAGUUUUGAUGAAAUAAUCGAUAUGGCACCGUAGAAGCUUUGACUCAUUACCUCUAGAAAAGGCUUUUGAACUGUGCAAAACUUUGCUGAAUACUGCCCCCUAUGCAAAACUGUGCUGAAUCAAUCAAUUAGCUAUGCUACUCCACUAUGACACCACUUGGAGUAUAAAACAAAAGAGACAUGUGUCCCAAUGUUGACGCCCAUGUGAAUGAUUUAAAUGUAAAAUUUUGUCUUAAACUUGAGUUUUCAACUCUAAAAAUUCAAUCAUUGUGUUUUCAAUAAAAAAAAUGUGCCCUUAAGACCCAUGUUAUGGCCCAAAACAAAAUGCUCUUAGUACUAGUUUCUUUUGGAUUACCCCAUCAGAGGUCAAAGCAUAACACCCCUUUAUUUCUAUUACAAUUUCUAUUCUCUUUAUUAAGCAUUCCUCACAUCAACUUUGAAAUGUACGACAAUAACAAUUACAAAGGCGACUAUAUUUUUUAAGGGGUCUCUUCCAAUAUUAAUCAAAUCAUGAUGCCUCAACAAAACAAUGGUGUCAGAGUUAUAACGGCUGGCAGAUGCAGAUGCAGCCGCAGAACUCUUUAGUUAUAACAAAGAUUUUCGGAAAAUAACACGUUUUGACAAAACUAUUUAGAGACAACAAAAUUAGGAUAUUCUAAGGGACUGUUUGUUCAACGGAGGGAGGCGGGAUUUUAAAAUCUUUUGUCUUUGGUUUAACGAGGGGAGGGAAGAGAUCUUAAUAGAGGGAUAGUGUAAAAUUACAUAUUCAACCAUUGUAAUAUUUAAGAUCACAUUAAAUAAAAGCCUACUUAAAUCCAAAUAUGAUAUAAAUACUUUCUCCCCUCUAGAUCCCCCCACUCUUGGAGGGGAGCUAAAAUUGGGAUUUGGCUCCCCUCCCCUCCCAACCAAACACAAUUGCAAGUAGUAAGCAACUCUGGACAUGGUUAUUUUUGGUCAACAGAAUUCUCUCCUCCAGAAGUGCUAAGUGGAUCAAAUUUUGGUCAGGAUAAGCAACUUAAUAGAGAUCUAUGGGUUUAACAAAACCCACUUGAUUUUCUCAUUCAUAGCUACACCCCAAACAUCGGACAAAUGGCUUUAUCUCUCUUGGACUUGCACAAAAAAACAAGUCUCUACAUAACCAGUUUUAAGGGCGCAACUUAAUACAUAACAAUCAACUUAACAGCAUAAAUUUCAGAAAUAAAAAUGACUGCAACACGAUCCAACUAACAUUACACUAACCAUAACAAGUCCAAACAAAAUGUACUCUAUUAUAAAAAUUCUUCAAUACUCAAAUUCCAGCUCAAAUCUGUGCCACUGCCACAAAAGGGCAAUGCCAAGCUACAUAUAAUCUCUGGCAAAAGUUCUAGCAUAACAUAAAACAUCCUUUUCUGUAAGAUUUAAAAUUACGGAAUGGAAAGAGUUUAACAAACCUCAAAAUUCAGUUCCAGCUAGAAGGACAAUACCCAUGAAUCCCAUAACCAGUCUUCCAAUUAUUCAAAUAAACAACCUAUUCAAAUAUACAACCCAUCACUUCAUUCGCAUUUUCUUUAUUCAUUAUUGAGUCCAAAUCACAGGCAGAAGAAAAGCAAAUGGAAAAUAAGCUAAAAACUAAAUCGAUUUAACUGGAAACUUUAAGCAUCAACAGUGUCCUCUAAUUCAACAGAAGCCAAAACAAGCUCAGGUUCUUCCCUUGCAGAAUCGCAUGUUCCAUCAAUUGCAUUGUUCCUCCCCAAUGCCUUCAAUGCCAAAUGAGCUGCCUUCUGCCCUGAUAUCAUCAUAGCUCCAAAUGUUGGACCCUACAAAAAUCAUCAACAAAAUCGUUAUCACAUCUUAGUCAAAUGUUUCUUACCAUUUUCAAAUUAAUUGCACUAAAACCAAUCAACUUGCAGUUGAAAAUAUAUAAAAAAAACCCUGAUCUUAAUUUCCACAUUACUUUAAUCACUACCUAAAUCAGAAUUGUACAAACAAGUCUAUAAACAAAAUAUUCUUCUCUUUGGUAGAUUAUAAACAAAAAUUCUUGUUCCUGCACAACAUUAACUCAAUAUAUUAUUACACAAAAUUGUCCAAGCCUACAUUAUUUACGCACACAUUAACUCCUAGAAUCAUGUUUUGUUAAAUCAAACAUGAUUUAACCAUAAAUUGUUGUUAAAUUUGACUCCAACUUUAGAAUUGAUUCCAAUCACAAAAUUAAUUAUUUAAAAGCAAAUAUUUCUUUUGUAAAAAAAAAAGCAAAUAUAUUUAGCUUCUAUGAUAACUAGAAUCAUUUUUCAAAUUUAUUGAUAUACAUACACACAUAAACAAUUAUUAUUUUGAAAUAGAUAAAAAUUAUUAUUAUUUAUUUUAAACAUACCUAAUAUAAAUAACUUUACCUUCAAUUUAUUUAACAUUAAUUUCAUAAAAAUUACUUAAGUCAUAAUCAACUAGUAUCAAUUAUUAUCACAUAGGAACCAAACACACUAAUUAACCUUGUACCGGAAACAAAGAAGCUUACCAUUCUUGGAGCUCCAUCAAUUUCAGCAACUUCCAUACCAGUAACAAUCAUACCAGGAACAACCUCCCUAGUAAGACGAACAAUAGCAUCUUCCGCAGUAUUCAUAUCAAGUGCUUUCAUUCCAGGAACAAAGUCAAUCAUACCAAUACUCUUCAACCUCUUAACACCAGUGGCACCAAAAGGACCAUCAUGUCCACAAGAACUCACAACAACCUUAGCUUCCAUAACAUUAGGAUCCAUACAAGACUGUGUAUCAUGGUUCAUUGAAACCAAAGCCCAAUUCGUAACAACACCACCAACUCUUCCUUCUUUCACAAUCAAAUCCUCGGCAGCAACAGCAUUGAACAAUUUCACGUUAGGUCUAGCGAGAAGUUUACUCAUGAUUGUUGAAGUGAACAAAGCAGCGUGUUUGAUUACAACGUAGUCUUCUUGUUCGUCGUAGUCAACGCCAAUUUCGUCGAGGAAGAGGUGAGCUGGUUUGCGGACAACCAUGGCGGAGAAGAGUUGGCCGCCGAGCCAUGCACCGCCGCCGGGACUGACGGAUUGUUCGAUUAUGGCUAUAUUGAUGUUAGGAUUUUUGCUUAAUUCGUAAGCGCAUGAAAGACCGGCGGAACCGGCACCGACGAUGACGACGUCGGUGUCGGCAUAGGUAAUCAUGUCUGUCAUGUAACGGCGUGUCAUUUCACGAGAGACGAUGGAUUCUUUGAUGGGUUGGAAUUUGAAGGAUUGAAGAUCGUAAGGAGGUGUGUUGAGGGACAUGGAGACUGAAGAAUAGUUAUGGGAGGUGGAUUUGAUUAAGUGGGAGGUGCGGGUAGCAAUUGAUCUUCCAUUGAAGAAUGAGGAUUUAGGAGUUGAAGAGAGAGAAGUGGUGAUAGAUGAGGUGGCCAUUGUGGCUGCGAGAAAGAAGAGUAUUUUAGGAAUAGAAAGGUAAUUGAUAUUUGUGAGAGAAGAGUAGCAGAUGAGUUUUAUAAAGAAGGAAAGAGGUGAAGAGGAUACAAUUUGAAAGGCUCACAAUUAAUUCAAGUGGGUGUUGAACGGCUGUCAGUUACUAUUUUGUACAUCCACAUCACAAAUUAAAAGAUACUCCCUCCCUUCUUUUUAAGUGUCUUUUAUUUAUUUAUUUAUCAUUUUUAAACUCAAAUUUUAGUUAUUAUUACUAUUUUAAUAUUAUCUAAUAUACUAUAUGUAAAGUGCAGAUAUGACGUCAAUAAAUAUUUACAUAUAUAAUAUAGAGUGAAUGCUAAGUCACUUUACAAAACGGCCCUAUUUUAUAUGGAAGUGAAAAAAUAGUGACAGCUGUGGGAUUUGAACCCACGCCCUUUCGGACCAGAGCCUAAAUCUGGCGCCUUAGACCACUCGGCCAAACUGUCUGAUUGAUAUCUUCUCUCAAUUAAAUGUUGAUAUAGCCUUAUUAAUACAAAUAUACUAGAUAAUCCAUAAACAAAAAAACAUCAUUCUUUAUUUAUAUAUAUAAAUCAUGAGUUGGUUUGUUUAAAAAAAAAAAUCUAUUUUUAUUUCUUAAAUUUUAUUUGUUAGUAAAAAAUUAAAAAAAAGGAAAUAAUUUUCUUUUGUUGAUGUAAACGAUUGUUAAAUUUAAAAGUCAAAAUGUCUUUAUAUACUAUCAUCAUAUCUAAGAUGAGAAAAGAAUAUUUUAUUAGAUUUGUUUCACUUAUAACAUUCUUCUCGAUGGAUUUAUAUCAUUGAAAUAUAGCGGAAUGACAUAGGACCAGUAGCAUCAAAUUUUUAAUAUUAACUAAUGUAUUUUAUUCUAUUUCAAUUACAUUUCAUCUUAUGCCAUCAAUCUAACAAUAUACCCUUUGAUUUCAUCUUAUGCCAUCAAUCCAACAAUACCCUUUGAUUGAAAAUGUGCGUGUAGUUUUCCUAUAAUUAUUAAUUUUAAUUAACGACUCUGAUUCUUUUAGGGAGAUAAAUCUAAUGAAAUUAACUUUAACGAUAAAUAUUUUUGGCAUGAUUUAGCAACAAGAGCUUAAUAACCGCAAAAUUGAUUCAGUAAUCCUCAACAUGCUGCGAGCAUGAAUGGUGUCAAUUUCUAUUAUUAAAAGACCAGCUCAGAAUGAUCACAUUCUUACAUGCAAUGGCCAAACUCCAUUUUCAUUAUUGUGCAUAUAGUCUUGUCUUGACAAACCAUAUGCAAUUUGCAAAAAGCAGCCUGUCUGUGGUCCCAUUCUCACAUUUUUUUCUACAUUACUAUAAUACUACUAUUUCACUAUUUUGACUCUGCAUUAUUGUCAUUUUUCAUUCACUAAUAUACCCUUUUCUUGUCUUUCUUGUAAAAGAUAAAUCCUUAUUUUCUAUGCAUCUCAUCCUCAUCUUACUAUGACCAAUUUUACCAAGUGAAAUGGUACACUGAUGACCGUUCCAUCUUGUUUGGAUGAUAAAAUCAUAUAGUAUACGGAUGACUGUUAAAUUUUAGUGCAUUAAUAAAAAAUUAUCGAGUUUUGAUUUAAACUAUUUGAUUUUAAUCGCACGAUUGUAGAUACGUGAUUAUUUUAAUUUAUUAAUUUCAUUGAAUUUAGAUUCCAAUUUUAUCAAUCUCUAUUUAGUUUUUUUUUAAGAUAUAUUAUAAGCAAAUUUAUUUAACUAAUUAGCUAAUUGAUAUUAUUUUUUAUUAGAUAAUAAAGUGUGAGUUUCUCCACUCGUAUUCUAAUAAAGUGGAACAUAAACAAAAAAUUAUAAUUAAAAAAUUAAUAUAUCAAAUACAUCGAUUUUUAAUAAAAGUAAUAUCCAAUAAUAUGACCCUCACAAUGACUAACAUAUUUUAGAAAAAAAACACUUAGACUGACUCUUGUGAUAAGUUAUCACAAUCAAUUAAAACCAACGAAAUAUAUAUUUUACUAAUUAUGUCAAAUCUAUUUUUAUUAAAAAAAGUUAAUAAAGUAGUGACUGAUUUUAAUUGAUUAUUGGAUAACAAUUUUCAAUAUGUUUUUAACAUUCUAUUGACUUUGGGGUAAUGAUGUUAUUAUAAGUGAAUGGGCAAAGUUGUACAUUUGUCACAUGCAAAUUAAUUAAACAGGUAAAUGCUAGAACAAAGUGGAACAAUAGCAUAUGACAUUACAACUGGAUGUGCAGAAAUCAUUUUCAAAGUAACGAUUAUUUAAUGAAGUGCGACACCUCGGGUUCAGAGAUCCAUCAACUGAGAAACCCUCCAUUCUCUUGACCCAAAAUUCUCAGAAUGGAUUCCGGGGCCUAUUCUUCAGUUUCCAUUAUUAUUUUCCUUGCAGCCAUCAUAGCUAGUGCUUAUUAUCAUUCAGCAGAAGCAGCUAUGUCUAAGGGAUCUUUUGAAGAUAAUUUCAGCAUAAUGUGGUCUCAAGAUCAUUUUACUACCUCUGAAGAUGGACAGAUCUGGUAUCUUUCUUUAGACAACGACACAGGUAUCAAAUCAAAUGCAUUCUCAUGUUAUAUUUUUUUUAAGAAUCGAAGUUACAAAGACCGAAUCUUAUUGCAUCGUUGCAGCAAAAUCACUCUGCCACUUACAAUAUUAUAGUCUAUCUUAUGUGUUGAUUUGAUUAAUUUGAUUUCUUUAUAAGCAAAAAUAUAUUAUGAAGAGUACUAAGUACUCAAAGAAUAUAGUCAAUGUUUUAAUUGUUAGCAUCAAAGUCUAUAUUUUGAGGCCAUUCCUAAAGCAAUGAAUGUUUUAUCAGGAUGUGGGUUUCAAACAAAACAAAGGUACAGAUUUGGGUGGUUUAGUAUGAAGCUGAAGUUGGUAGGAGGUGAUUCUGCUGGUGUUGUAACAGCUUAUUAUGUAAGUGUACAUUUACAUAACAUUGAAAUAUAGUACUACUAAAUGUGUUUCUUUAAAGAGUUCCUCUCUAAGAAGCACUCACACAUACACCUGAUAAGAAAUUGUUAUUGAAACUUUGAAAAAAUAUAAUUGAAUGUAAUUAUAUUUGUCGGUGUUAUGUUAGUGUCAACACUGAAAUAUGUCAACCACCAAACGCACCUUCAAUAUGAAGUAUAAGUGAUAUGAAGUAUAAGUGCUACAUAUGUUACUUUGUGUUUCUAUGAAUCCAAUUGGUGGGGUGUUUGAUAAGAAUGGUGGAAUUGUUGCAGAUGUGCACAGAAAAUGGUGCAGGACCAGAAAGAGAUGAACUUGAUUUUGAGUUUUUGGGAAACAGAACAGGGCAACCAUAUUUGAUUCAGACAAAUGUGUACAAGAAUGGAACUGGUGGGCGUGAGAUGAGACAUAUGCUAUGGUUUGAUCCAACUGAGGAUUAUCACACUUAUUCCAUCCUAUGGAACAAUCAUCAGAUAGUGUAAGUGCAAUCUUAUACUCAUCUUAUUAGUGUUUGUUAAUCUUAUAAAUUAUAAGCCAAGUUUCACAAAAUAAAAGAGAGUAGAUCAUCAUCAAAAUGUUUGCAAAAAAUGGUAAUGAAUCUAAAACGGUACCCUUCUUUAUGCUUUUGUCGGUUUAAGGCUUCUUUUCUGAAUUGUCAAAAAGUAGUACAAGAUAUGAUUGUGUGGUUAAAGAAACGAAUAUAGUUAGUAAAAUCUACACUAUGUGGGCCUAGUUUAAUUAUUAUUGUUACCUACUCAUAUGUAUAUUUAGGCUAUUCUUUGUGUUGUUAAGUUGGUAAAUCUUAUAAAAUUUAAUUGAAUGGAAAAUGAAACUUGAAUAUAAAUAUCAUUUGUCCAAUUUGGGUAUUUAUUUUUAAGCUAAGAUGAAUAAAAUUUUGUUUACUGAAUGUUGGAAACAGGUUUUUUGUGGAUAGAGUUCCUAUAAGGGUAUUCAAGAACAAUGAAAAACCAAACAAUUUCUUCCCGAAUGAGAAACCAAUGUACUUGUUUUCAAGUGUAUGGAAUGCAGAUGAUUGGGCCACAAGAGGUGGACUUGAGAAAACAAAUUGGAAAUUAGCUCCAUUUGUGUCAUCUUACAAAGAUUUCAGUGUUGAUGCUUGUCAAUGGAAAGAUCCAUAUCCUACAUGUGUUUCAACCACAACAAAAAGUUGGUGGGAUCAAUAUGAUGCUUGGCAUCUAUCAGGAGAUCAAAAAAUGGAUUAUGCUUGGGUUCAGAGAAACCUUGUGAUUUAUGAUUAUUGUAAGGAUUCUGAACGUUAUCCGAUUCUGCCAGAAGAGUGCUCAUUGAGUCCAUGGGAAUAAUGUAUCAAGGGGAAAAUAUUAUUUUUCUUUUAAUUAAAUAUUUUUUUUUUUGUAUUAUCAAAAUAUUUUAGUUAGCAGAGUUUUUUUAUUCGUUGAAUAUUAUUUUCUGAUUAUGUAAAAGCACAUUCCAUAAUAGAUGAAGUUUACAUGGCUUACAAUUUCACUUCUACAACCACAAUUAAUCACUACUUCAUUCCCCCCCCCCCCCCCCUCNNNNNNNNNNNNNNNNNNNNNNNNNNNNNNNNNNNNNNNNNNNNNNNNNNNNNNNNNNNNNNNNNNNNNNNNNNNNNNNNNNNNNNNNNNNNNNNNNNNNNNNNNNNNNNNNNNNNNNNNNNNNNNNNNNNNNNNNNNNNNNNNNNNNNNNNNNNNNNNNNNNNNNNNNNNNNNNNNNNNNNNNNNNNNNNUAGAGUAGAGAUGUAAAAUAGGUCGGUUCAGUAGUCUAAAUGACCCAUACACGUGAAUAGUUUAGUUUUGGUCCGAUUCACUUUGUUAUAGAGUUGUGUUUUAUUAAGAUUGGCUCAUCUAUUAUGGGUUAUGUGGAUUAGCAGUAGUCUUGGUCGACGCGCAAGAACCACAAUAAUACUAUGUUGUGGAUUAGCAGUAGUCUUGGUCGACGCGCAAGAACCACAAUAAUACUAUGUUGUUGAUUAGCAGUAGUCUUGGUCGACGCGCAAGAACCACAAUAAUACUAUGUUGUUUUUAACUUUUAGUAGAAUACAUUUUUUUAAAAAAAUUAAGUUUUUUUUUUUUAAUUAUGAUCAAUCUAUUACUUUAUUUUUUUUAAAUCAAUUCAAAAAGACUAAUUUGACCGCCAUCAAGUCGAAUGAGAAUGAGUUAUUGAAGUGUUUUGAAUUUAUAAAUCUGAAAUUUGUACGAUACAUUAGCAUAUUUCUCAGCUUGAAUUUUGAGAAGUUCAUGGAAACACUUGUCUUGCAAACCGUAGAUCCCAUUUGUUGCUUAUUAUUCUCAAUUUCAUCACUUGGGAUUUUUCCAAGAAAGGAUAUCCCUUCCUAGUUUUAAAUUCAAGUAGGAGUAAUUGUUUUAUUAGAUUUUGACCUCUUCCUCCAAACUCUUUUAAUUUUAUUUGAAUGUAUUUUGUUAUGUGUUACAAAUGAUUGUUAGCAGUUGACUGUGUCAAAUAUAUUUGAAAUGUCAUUCUCUGAUACAAUGCAUUUGCAUUGUAAUAGCAUUUUAUAUAAAAUAAAAUCGAUAGAUGGAUUAAAUUCAUCAUCUAAAAUCGAUGGAUGGAUUAAAUUGAUCGAGAAACAUUUAAUUUUACAAAUAAAUUUGUCUAAUUAGAUUUCAAAUAUUCUUUUUCAAAUUAAAUUAAAUUGAACUUAAUAGCAAAUAUAACUUUUCAUAAUUAUUUAUUUUAUAAUUAGUAUGAGAUGUUGUAUAAUUCUUUUUUAAAUUAAAGUAUUUUUACAUGCAACUACAGAGAUUAAUUAUUCGAAGUAAUUGAGAUCUAUGUAAAAAUGAUUAAUCUCCCCAACAAUAUUUUUGUAUGCAUAUCAACUAGAAUGGUACCCUCAACCAAAUAGUUAAAAAAACUUAAACAUCUAUUACUUGUAUUCAUACUUAUUAGUUUAAUAUAAUAUAUACCUUAGUUCUUUUUUAAUACUCAUUUUCAGAUUAUUUACAAUUGCCAAUAAAAACUAAUAAAUUUUGUUAUUUUUCAUAAAAUUAAAUAUCUUUUACCUUUAAUAUUAUUUAUUAUCUCAUUUUAUGUUUUUUUUUCUUCUCUUUGCAAUAAACAAUUAGAGAUAAUUUUGUCAAACCAAUAGUUUUUUUUUUCUCUACUUUAAAUUUUGAAAACGACAAAUAAAAAGAAACAAAAAUUUCUAUUAUAAGCCAUUAAAAAUAAAUGGAGAAACUAUUAUUUUAUUAUUUUAUUAUUUCAUAUGUUGCAAACCUAAUUAAUAAUAUAAAUAUUAUUAAUAAUAUUCAUCUUGUCUCAAAUUGAUAUCAAAUAUACCAAAUUUUUAAUUACAUUUUUUAUCUAUAUUUCACUUGAUAUGAAGUAUUUAAAAAGAAAUUUUUUAUAGGAUGUUAUUUGAUAUAAUAAUAUAAAUAUUUCUUACAAAUAAAUGUAAAUUGUUAAUUUUAUUAAUAAAGAGGGAGAAACAUUAACAACCGCCGAACUGUUGACAUCCUAAGCCUUCUCAAUAAUCGUCAUAUUUCUCACUCAAAGUCACUAGAUUAAAUUUUGGAUGACAUAAUAAUAUAAAUUUACGAUUACACAUCGGUAAAAUUUAAUAUUCUAUCUAAUCGAAACCGCUUUUAAUCAGAUUUGAUAAAUUAUUUUCAAGGAAACAAUCCAAAUCAAACAAAACAAUGUCAAACCAAGAAUAACAUGUUAUUGUAAUCUUUAAAUUAAAAUAUCUCUUGUCUCAAAGUCGAUCGUAAACAGACCAUGAACAACGCUAGUAACGUAGGAUCAUUUGUCUAUUUUUUUAUUUAAAAAAUUCCAAGAAUUUUAUUUAAUUAUUUUAAUUCAUUAAAUAUUUACAAAAAUUAAUCAUCUAUACAUUAUAAUAAAGCAAAGAUGAUAAUUUGACAAGUUUGUCACGUGUCAGCCAAAUAGAAUAUUAGGAAUAUAUCAAGUUUCUAUUAAUAAAAAUAAUAUCUUAUGUGUCCGCUAAGAAGUUAAUGACCAAUUAAAAAAUUAGAAAGAAUGAAUUAAAAAUAAAAAUAAAAAAUAAAAAAUUAAGAAAGAAAAAAAUAAAACUUCCAAUUACAUCACGAUAUUUGUACGUGAUUGAAUUUAGUGGUCAAUUAAAAAAUUAAAAAUAAAAUACAAUACACCACGACAGUUUUUGAAUGUUUGUAUGCGGCCGUUGAGAAGUUAAUGAUCAGUUAAAUAAAUAAGAAGAAUGAAUUAAAAAUAAAAGGUGAGGUAAUGGCCAGUUAAAAAAAUAAGAAGAAUGAAUUAAAAAUAAAAGAUUUUUUUUUUAAGAAAAAAAUAAAACUUCCAUUAUACCACGACUUUAUUCAUGAUAAUGCAUCAGAAGUUAAUGGCUAAUUAAAAAUAAUUGUUUUUAAACACUACUUUAUUAACCACCGUUUCAAAUUAAUUUAAUUAAAAAAUUUAUUUUAUUUUACUAAUUAUUUUUCAACUUUCUUUUUUAAUUCGUCGUCAUCCGUUAACCGUCUAUCCUCAAUAAUCUCUCAUUUUCCAUGUCUCUUUUAUAAAGAUCAUUCGUAUUAUCUCAGUACACAAUUUCCUCUUAAUUUUUUCUAUUUUAAAAAUUCGUUAUUUAUUUUUUUGUUUAUCGUUAUCCGAUAAAAAAUCAGAUUUUGUUACUUCAAUUUCUCCAAAAAAAAGAGUCAUGAAAUUUGGUUAUUAGAAUCGUGCGAUUACGGUUUCUGUUUGAUCUGAAUAUCAAACAUAAAUUUUAUGCGAUGGAAAUUGUAUUGAUAAUGGAUGACAAGGUUUAACUCUUUGUUUUAUAAAUUCAAAUUUUAAAUUAUACCCAAACUUAUUUGUUAUGUUAUUAAUUUAACAAAGUUGUGUUUCAUAUUGUUAGGGUCAUAAAAUUCAAACAACAGUGUGAAAAACUCUUAUUUCUCGAUUUGAGACUACUAUUCGUGAGAGAGUUGUGUACAACUUUUGUUCUCUUGGUGUUGCGUCUAACUCUGAAGCAUAUAAAACAACCGGACACCAAUUCGAAAGUUUAGUCAGAGUCUCUCCGUACUCAAUUUCAUUCCCAGAAAUUGGAAAUGUUUGGCAGUUUUUUUAAGAUAAUUGUUUUUUAAACACUACUUUUGCAACACCGCUUUAAAUUAAUUUAAUUAAAAAUUUUAUUUUAUUUUAAGAAUUCUUUUAGUGUCAUCAGAUUUUCCUUUUUAAUUCGCCUUCUCCGUCAAUUGUCUCUCUUCCUCUCAUUUUUUGCGUCUCCUUUGUAAAUAUCAUUCAUGUUACACAAAUCAUUUUUAACUUUUCUUUACCAAAUAUUCCUUAUUCAUUUUGUGUUUAUCUUUUUCCUCUGAUGUCUGGAAAAAAAAGAUUUUGUUGCUUCAAAGCCAUGGAGUUUAGUUGUUAGAGUUGUGCGAUCGUGGUUUAAACAUAAAUUUUAUGCAAUGGAAAUGGUCUUGAAGGAUGACAAAGUUUAAUUCUCGUGUAAAUUCAAAUUUUAAAUUAUAUUAUUUGUGUAUUAACAAACCUGCCUUUCAUAUUCUUAGAGAGAUAGAAUUGAAUCAACCGCGAGUUUUUAUUUUUUUACAUUUGAUGUGUACAAUUCUGUUGGUGUUGUUUCUAACAACUUUCUGGUGUAUAUGGAACAAUCGGACACCAUUUCAUAUUGUCAUUGUUAUUUUAUUUUAUUUAUAAAAAAAGAUUACUAUUUUGUUAUAUAUAUUUUUUUAUUGUUUAUGUUUCUAAAUUUUGUCUUACAAAAAUUAUACAUCACUGUAAGAUUUUUUCUGAACAACGUUGCCACAGGAGUUAUAUUGAAGAGAAAAAUAAUACUUUAUUUAAGUAAAUAUAAAAUUUAGGCUAAAUACAAUUCAUUACAUCUAUUACACAUUUUAGUUUUUAUUGGAAGUAAUGAUUUUUCAAACUUCAAACACUGUUCUAACCAGUCUAUUACAUCACGAUUUGACGACAUCUAUUACACAUUUUUUUGUUUUUAUUGGAAGUAAUGAUUUUUCAAACUUUAAAACUGUUCUAACCAAUCUAUUACAUCACGAUUUGACGAGUUGAUAGUUAUGUGAAAAUGUAUAAUGAUUUUUCAAAAAUUAUUAUUUUAAAUGGUUCCAUUUUAAUUUUACUAAUAUACUAUACAUUUUAUAUUCUAAAUUUAUUAUUAAAUAUCAUGCAAAUUCAAAAGAAUUCAAAGGAUUAAUGAAAGAUUAAUGAAUACUAACAUGCAAAUUCAAAGAUAAAAAAUAAUUAUAGUUUUUAUGUGUAUUGUAUUUUUUUUUUUGUAAUAGGAAGAUUAUUUUUCUUUAGUAUUUUAUGAGUAGUACCAGAAUGAAAAAUAUUUUGUCACUUGAUAGAUCAAGAUUUAUAUGAAUUUUUAAAUGUCAUUUAUUUCAUAUAAAUAACAUACUAUGUUAGAAUGAUAAAAAUAAAAAUUCAUUAUUAAGUUAAUUACUCAUAUUUACAUUUACUAAUUUACUUAAUUUAUAUAUGUCAUGUCCAUUAUUUUAAAAAUUCUUAUUUCAUCUAAUCUAAUUAUUUAAUUUUUUAAUAAUUAUUGUUUUUAUUUGUUUAAAAUUAAAAGUAUUGUUUUAUAAUAAGUAUUUUUGGAAAAAAAAAAAAAAUUCGAAUUCAAAAAUAAGAUUAAAGAGUAGUGUUGGAGUCAUGUUUUUCAUGAGUAAUAUUGACCGUAUAAGAAAGUAGUUUUUAAAUUAGAUUAGAAUUAGAUUUUUUUACUGUAAAUUAUUUUUUUAAGUCAACUUAUUAAUUUAAAUGUCAAUAAAAUUUAUAAAAAUUAAUAUAUAUAUAUAUAUAUAUAUAUAUCUUAUAUGGACUCGCAGCAUGUCGUUUAGAACUUCCAAACCCAAUAAACAAACGAUCAUUAGUUGGAUGGUUUGGUGCAAGAUUAAACGACACAAAGAAACGGGAUUAGGGUUUUGCUCUGAUUAGGGAUCCGAAUUUGAUAUUCGAAUCGAAAAAUUCGUAAUCAAAUCAGUAACCAGAGCCAUUAACGCAAUGGUCUGCGAAAAGUGUGAGUAUCUCGUCCUUUUCAGCAAUCCAUCCAUAUUUCUCGCUUAAUUUAUCUCUGUAAAAAAUUCAAUUAAUUUUCGGUAAUUUGAACUCGUGGUUGCAGGUCAGAAGAAAUUAUCGAAGGUGAUAGUACCAGACAAAUGGAAGGAAGGUGCCAGCAAUACUACUGAAGGUGGUGGCCGCAAAAUCAACGAGAACAAGCUCCUCUCCAAGAAGAACAGGUUCCAUUCAACCUAAAAUUUCAAUUUUUUAUUUAUUGCAUAAUUUGUUUCUUUUUAUUUUUUAAAUUGAGUAUGGAAAGCAUAAUAAUUUGGCGCUGAUUGAUAAUAUGCUAAAGUGUAAUUAUUUCUAGUUUUAUAUUGGAAAUUUUGGAGGGCAAAUUUAUUUUCAUCUGCUUGAUAUUCGAAUUUUGAGGUGGGGGUUUUGGAAUUAAAUCCACUCUGCACAGUGGAAAAUCAUUUCAUGCUACUCUAUUUUUUCCCCAACUUGUUUGAAUCUCAAUGCUACUCGUGUUACUGUUAGGAUGAGAUUCUCCAUGGAAGAGUUGAUAUUUGAACUUGUUAGGAUGAGAUUCUUCCAUGGAACAAUAGGCUCUGAUGUUUGCAUGUUUCACUUUAGGAGUUUCUAUGCAUAUUUGGUCUCUGUUUUGGGAAUGUUGGCCUUGAUAUUCCCUGCGCAUGUUAUGCCAUCACAUACUUGGUUUGGUGCUUUAAACUUAAUCUUCUUUAAUGUCUUAUUUGGAGAAAAAAAAAUGUUUUUUCAUAUAUAGAUUUGCUAUGGUUGGUUGUAUGGUCCAAGUUGUGAAAGAAGCCUAAUGUUUUCAGGUGGUAGUUAGUGAUGGAGAACUUGUUAGCUAUUUUGUACAACAAGUGAAUAAAUUGUUGGAUGUCACUAGGACUUGAUAUUGUAAGAUACAGCUUUGUAUUUUAAAAACAUUUAUAUAUAUCCGCUGUUCCCAUUCAUUUUAUUUAAUGUUUGUAUUUUUGUGAUGAAGAUUGGUAUUUCCCCCAUUACUUCACCAAGGUCACUUUCCCUCUUCAUGUUACGACCUACAAUUUAGAUAUCUUGCCAAUACUAUUGCAGUAUUGCACAAUUAAAAUGGGAUAUCUGUAUUUUGAUUGAUGUGGCUCUUGGAAAAUAUUUUUGAUAUAUCUAUCUGGCUCAACCUUCAAAAUUGUUAGAACACGUUUUAGCUUUGUAUAUUCUUUAUCUCGUUAUCACAUAUGUGCACACAGUCUUGUACUUAUAAAUAGUCCUCAAGAGUCAAUACUAUAAGCACUGCUUACUAGUUGUACACUUAUAAAAGUAAUACUGACUAUACGUAAAGUUCUUGCGUUUUGGAUGGCUUAAUAAUAUCUGUCCAAAUUGCCAAGGAUUUUGGUCCAGAGUGAGUGUCAUUAUGAAUAGAGAUAGUACACUUGAAGGAGGGCUGUGCCUGUGCCAUUACUUUUUGUAAAUAUUUAUGCAUUAGUCUUGCACUUAUACUUGAUUCACGAUACCAUCGACAAUUUUUUUGUCCAAAUAUAUACUAUACCUUGACAUGUUGUUUAAAGGGCUCCCUUUUCUUCUUUUGUAACUUGUUUUUAUUACACCCUGCAUUUUUUUCAUCAUGUGAAGUGCGUUCUUAUUUUAAAUUAAUUCCUUGCAGAUGGACCCCUUACGGGAAUACCAAGUGUAUCAUUUGCAAGCAGCAAGUGCACCAGGAUGGCAAGUACUGUCACACCUGUGCUUACUCGAAAGGUGAUAUUUCAUGUUUAGGCGUUUUGCAUUUGCUGCUAUAUUGUAUCAUGAAAGUGCAUAAUUCGACUGCUGAUGUAUUUUGUAUUUGUAGGAGUUUGUGCGAUGUGUGGCAAGCAAGUUCUUGAUACCAAGUUUUAUAAACAAAGCAAUGUGUAGUGCAUUUCUGCUGCAUUCUGAUCUUGUUGCUAACACUGUAACUGAAUCUGUAAAAAAUAAAUUGUUCUAUUUUCUCUGUCAUAUGUAAUUGACUUAUUGAAUGUUUAUUCCUGAUCUAAAACAUGUACCUUUGGUCAACUAACUCAAUUUUUACCAGAACAGAGCUUAUUAUAAAACUUAUUAUAAAAGGGUGUUUAGGUCAAAAUUGAUUUUGACUCUAGCAAAAGGUUAAACAAAAGUGAAAUAAGAAAUUCUACAGGAGUCAUAUUGAAAAAAUUAAUAAAAUAUUUCAAAUAUUAAUUUUGACUUGUUUUAAUAAACUUUCUAAUAUAGAGAGAUAUUUUGGUCACUUCUUUGCAUACAAUUUAUUUUAAUUUUUCCACACCAAAAAUUCUUUACGAAAUAUUUAAGGAAAAUUUAUAUAAUUCAAGAUUAUUGAUAUAUUUUUCUAAAUUGGAUCUUUUUUUUAUUAAAGUGACCCUAGAAACAUUUGCAAUGCUGAAAACUUAACGGUUUCUUACUUUCUAAAUGUUGUCCUCUAAUCUUUUUUUUAUCAUUGGAGUGUGUAUAUGACAAUUGAGAUAAGGGAUUGGUGUUUAAGGAACUUAAUUAUUAAAAUCAAAUUUUUAUUAUUAAAUCUCAACUGGAAAAAUUGGAGAGCAUAAGCAGAAAUAAGUAUAAGUUGUUUAUUAUAAUCAGUUUAGAAUAAAAUUAGUAAAGUUGUUUAUAGAUUUACUUAAAUGUUAUUAAAGUUGUUUAUAGAUUACUUAAAUGUUACGUGUGGUAGUUUGAGCCCAUAAAAUAUAACUCAAGUAACCUAAAAAAAUUCUCUCGUUAAGACACUAAUAGUUAUUUUAGGAUUGUUACUAAAGAAAUUUAAACCAUAUUCCUUAAAAUUAGGAAAUCAUAUUCUACCUGUAGAAGUGAUACAUGAUGGCUAUAAUAUUAAAUAAUACUACUAUUAUUAAAUAAGAGAGAUAGGAUUUAUUUUUGUUUAUAUUUAGUUUAAAAUAUAUUUCAUUUUUGCUUAUUAAUUUGUACCCCAACACUGUAAUUGUAAAAUUUAUGUCUUGACUUUCUACAUGUCAUAAGUAGGCAGACAAGAAAUGUCCAAAAAAAUAUGAAGAUAUUUAUUCAAAGUUUAUUUCCAUAACACGUAUAUGGUAGUUAUUUAUGACUUGAUUUUACUUGGAUAUUAGUAUGCUGAUAGAUUGAACAUACCAUUUAUUUUCUUUUUUUGUCCUAAAUAGUUCGUAAAUUGCUACAUGUUCAGACAAUUUGUUUGUCUAAACAUAGAUAUGAAAAAAACAUACUCUAAGUGACACACAAGUAUGAUAACUUCAUUCACAUUUUCUUUAUUCAUUAUUGAGUCCAAAUCACAGGCAAAAGAAAAGCAAAAGAAAAAUAAGCUAAAAACUAAAUCGAUUUAAUUGUAAAUUUUAAGCAUCAACAAUGUCCUCUAAUUCAACAGAAGCCAAAACAAGUUCAGGUUCUUCCCUUGCAGAAUCGCAAGUUCCAUCAAUUGCAUUGUUCUUUCUCAAUGCCUUCAAUGUCAAAUGAGCUGCCUUCUACCCUGAUAUCAUCAUAGCUCCAAAUGCUGGACCCUACAAAAAUCACCGACAAAAUCGUUAUCACAUCUUAAUCAAAUAUUUCUUACCAUCUUGAAAUUAAUUGCACUAAAACCAAUCAACUUGCAGUUAAAAAUAUCUAUCAAAAACCUUGAUAUUAAUUUCCACAUUACUUUAAUUACUUCCUAAAUCAAAAUUGUACAAACAAGCCUAUAAACAAAAUAUUCUUUUCUUUGCUAGAUUAUAAACAAAAAUUCUAGUUCCCCCAAAGGUUAACUCAAUAUAUUAUUUUACACAAAAUUGUCAAAGCCUACAUUAUAUACACACACAUUAUCUACGUAAAAAUCAUUUUUAAAAGAUACAUUUUUUUUAAAGAGUGUGAUUUUUAUCAUAUUAAAAUCUCUAAUAAUAAAAAUAUAAGUUAUUAUAUAUCAAAAUUAAUUUUUUAAUCAAUAAUAAAUAAAUCAAAAUUAACAUAUAUUAUUUUUAAGAAAAUUAUUUCAAAGAUAUAAAGUCAAAUCAUUUUUAUAUUCCACUAGACUCCAUUCAAUGAUAUCAAUCCAAACAUAACUAAGAAAGAAAAUUUAAUAUAACUUUUUUCUUCCACUCGACCAAACUGUGUUCUUGCACAAUCUGCUCAAUUAAAACAUAAAGUAGAGUGUUUAUAGAAAUAUAUUAAGCAUUUCCAUUGACAAAAACAUCAUUCUUUUUAAAUAUAUAGAAAAAAACAUAGUUGGCUGGUUCCCUUUUAAAAAAAAUAUACUAUUUUUAUUUCUUAAAUUUUAUUUUUCAGAAACUAGGGGAACAAAAUUAGAUGGCUAAAUUACAUUUGUGGUUCUUUAACUUAAUCUCAGGUAACGUUUUAGUCCUUUAUCUUAUUUUUUUCCCGAUUUACUCCUUUAUUCCUAACAAUAUCAAAAAUAUGAGUUUAUUUGAAGAUUUGCGUUACGAAUUUGAUGAAAUUUGUAUUAUACUGAAGAAUAUAAUUAAUUUUAUGAGUUUUGAUUUAAUUUUUUUUUUUGAAUUUUUGUAUAAAAAAGGAUAACAUUGUUGAAAUUUUAAAACAUAAAAUAUCAAAUUGUCACUUAAAAUUAAAAUAAAGAACCAAGUCGGGAAAAAAAAAGAUAAAAGACUAAAACGUUACUUGAGAUUAAGUUAAAGGACCACAAAUAUAAUUUAGCCAAAAUAGAUAAUUUUUUUAACGCAAACAAUUGUCUAAUUUAAAAUUCAAAAUGUCUAUAAAUAUCACCAUCACAUCUAAGAUGGCGAAAGAUUAUCCUAUUAGAUUCUUUUCAAUUUGGUAAUUAUUUUCAAUGGAUUCUAGAUAAGAGCAUCUAUAACGGUGAACUCAAUAUGGGUUUUUUAGAUGAGGUCCACUGUGCCACAUUAUCUUGAAGCAAUUCACUCAUUUUCUACUCAAACGGUGAACUCAACAUUAUUCAAGUUCUACUAUGCUACAUCAAUGUAAAUCAACUCAUUCAUUUUUUACAGUUUAACUUUUAAAAAAUCAUAUUAUAUUCAAUUACUUUAAUUUAUAUAUUAAUAUUUAAUUUUAUUAUAACUUAAAAUAUUAAUUUAAAUGGAAAAAUAAAUAAAAAAGUACGUUAAUAAAAACUUUAAUAAACUUCUGUAACAAAAAUUGUGAAGAAAAAGUAUGAGUAACAAAUUGUUUAUAUUAAUGAGCUAACAAUCUUAAUUAAAGGAGAAAAAAAAGCUAACGGUGGUAUAUUAACUAAAAAAAAGCUAAUGGUUACAAAAUUAUUAUUAUUUAAUAAAUUAAAAAGAAGUUAACGACUAUAAUUAAAAAAAGCUACCGAUUAUAAUUAUAUUAUUAUUAAAUUAUGAAAGUAGAUAGAAAAAAAAAAUAAAAAUUAACUGCUAUGAAACACCGUUCCUUCCUUACAGUACCGUGAUGACACUUUGACACAACUCCAAUGGUGAACCCACAAAAAACUAAAAGUUAAGUACACGUUGGCGACGAACUUAUUUUUACUCUCGUUGUAGAUGCUCUAAGUAAUAUAUCCUUUGAAAUAUAGUGAAGAUGUAACAUUAAAAUUUUAAAAUUAACUAAUCUAUUUAUUCUAUUUCAUUCAAUUACAUUUCAUCUUAUGUCACCGAUCUAACAACACUCUUUGAGAAUGUGCAUGUAGUUUUCCUACGCUUAUUUUUUUUAAUUAACGACUCGGAUUCUCUUGUUUCAGGGGAGGUGGAUUUGAUGAUGUGGGAGAUUCGGGUAGUAAUUGGUUUUCCAUUGAAGAAUGAGGAUUUGGGAGUUGAAGAGAGAGAAAUAGUGAUAGAUGCGUUGGCCAUAGUGGAUGCCACGAAGAAGGGUAUUUUGGGAAUAGAAAGGUAAUUGAUAUUUAUGAGAAUGGGUUUUAUAAAGACGGAGAGGUGCGAGAUGUGUGAAAUAUGUGAACGGAAAGAUGAGGAUAUAAUUUGAACGGCUCCCAAACCUUAAUGUCAGAGAUAUUUUUUUAUGUGAUUGAAAUCAUUGCCUUUUUGCUCUAUUAAUUCAAGUGUGAGUGCUCCAUUAACUACUAUGUCCUACAUCCACAUCAUAAAUUAAAAGAUACUCCCUCCCUUCUUUUUAAGUGUGUUUUAUUUAUUUAUUUAUCAUUUUUAAAGUCAAAAUUGUAUUAAUUAUUAGUUUGUCAAAUUAUUUUUAAUUAUUUAUUAUUAUAAUGAGAAAAAAUAUGAAACGUUUUUUAGUGUAAUAUUUUUAUUAAUAACUAUUUUUCAAAUAUUUGUUAAUAUUUUUUCAUAACUUAAAAGUGAUAAUUAAACAAAACAGUGCUAAUAUUAUAAAUACUAUUUUAAUACUAUGUAGUAUACUAUAUAUAAAAUGGAGAUAUGAUGUCAAUAUAUAUAUAUAUAUAUAUAUAUAAUAAAGUGAAUGUUAAGUCAUUUUAUCACAUACUUUUUAAAUUAGAGAAUAUACUUUUUAAAUUAGAGAAUAAAAAAAAUGAAGGUAGUUAGUGGAAUGAGAUUAAAUGGAUAUCAUCAUGUUCUAUUUUAUUUUUAAAAACAAUAUUCAAACAAUGGAGUGCUAUAUUAGAUUCGUUUGUCUUAAAUUUUUUUAAAAUAAUUUAUUUUUUAUAAUAUUUAUAAAAGAUAAUUUUAAAAAUAAAGUUUAAAAUGAAGAAAUUAUUUUAAAUAAUUUAUCUUAAAAUAUUAUUUUUUUAAGUAUUUUAUUUAUUUGUUACCAUUGUUUGCAUAACAAAUUUUAAAUUUUUUUUCAUAAAAAUUAUUUUUAAAACAUACAUUUUUUUCAAAGAGUGUGUUUUUAAUCAUGUUAAAAUCUUUAAUAAUAAAAAUAUAAGUUAUUGUAUAUCAAAAUUAAUUUUUUAAUCAAUAAUAAAUAAAUCAAAAUUAAUAUAUAUUUUCUUUAAGAAAAUUAUUUCAAAAAUAUAAAAUCAAAUCGUUUUUAUAUUCCACUAGACUCCAUUCAAUGAUAUCAAUCCAAACAUAAUUAAGAAAGAAAAUUUAAUAUAAUUUUUUUCUCCCACUAUUUUUCUUCCACUCGGCCAAACUGUCUUCUUGUACGAUCUGCUCAAUUAGAGUGUUGAUACAGAUAUAUUAAGUAUUUCCAUUGACAAAAACAUCAUUCUUUUUACAUAUAUAGAACAAAUAUAGUUGGCUGGUUCCCUUUUAAAAAUAUUAUUCUAUUUUUAUUUUUUAAAUUUUAUUUGUCAGCAACUAAGGGAACAAAAAUAGAUUAAAAAAAAUUAGCAUAAACAAUUGUCAAAUUCAAAAUUUAAAAUGUCUAUAAAUAUCACCACCACAUCUAAGAUGAUUAAAUAUUAUCUUAUUAGAUCCUUUUCAGUCUGGUAAUUCUUCUCUAUCGAUUCUAGAUAAGUAAUAUAUCCUUUGAAAUAUAGUGAAGAUGUAACAUUAAAAUUUUAAAAUUAACUAAUCUAUUUUUUUCUAUUUCAUUCAAUUACAUUUCAUCUUAUGCCACCAAUCUGACAAUACUCUUUGAGAAUGUGCGUGUAGUUUUCCUACACUUAUUUUUUUUAAUUAAGGAUUAUGAUUCUCUUGUUUUAAGGGAGGUGGAUUUGAUGAUGUGGGAGGUGCGGAUAGGAAUUGAUAUUCCAUUGAAGAAUGAGAAUUUGAGAGUUGAAGAGAGAGAAGCAGUAAGAGAUGCGGUGGUCGUGGUGGCUGUUAUGCCAUAAAGAUGGGUAUUUUGAAAUAAAAAGUAAUUAAUAUUUGUUAGAGGAGAGUAGAAUGUGUUUUAUAAAGACGGAAAGAGGUGUGAGAUGUGAAGUGUAUGCUUUUUGAAUGAUGAGGAUAGAAUUUGAACGGCAUAUAAGUAGUAUACUAUAUGUAAAGUGCAGAUAUGACGUGCGAGAUGUGAAGUGUAUACUUAAUAUUAUCUGCAUAUAUGACAUCAAUAAAUAUAUACAUAUAUAAUACAGAGUGAAUGCUAAGUCAUUUUAUGAUAUACUUUUCAAAUUAGAAAAAUGAAAUAAGAUAAGUAGUGGAAUGAGAUUAAAUGGAUGUUUUCAUCUUCUAUUUUUAUUUUUUUUUUAAAUAUUCAAACAAUAGAAUGUUACAUUAAGUCCGUUUAUUUUAGAAUUUCUUAAAAUGAUUUUUAUAACAUUUUAUUUUUUUGUUAUAAUAUUUAUAAAAAAUAAUUUUAAAAAUACAGCUUUAAAUGAAUAAAUUAUUUAAAAAAAUUUAUUUUAAAAUAUUAUUUUAAAUAUUUUAAAUAUUUUAUCUAUUUAUUACAAUUUUUUACAUAAUAAAUUUAAAAAUAAAAUUAAAAUAAAAAGUUAUUUUAAAAAACUCUUUAUAAAAAUUACUAAGUCAAAAUCGACUACUAUCAAUUAUUAUCGCAUAGGAACCAAAAGGACCAGUAGCACCAAAAGGACCAUCAUGUCCACAAGAACUCACAACAACCUUAGCUUCCAUAAUAUUAGGAUCCAUACAAGAGCCAUGAUUCACUGAAACCAAAACCCAAUUCGUAACAACACCACCAAUUCUUCCUUCUUUCACAAUCAAAUCAUCAACAACAACAACAUUGAACAAUUUCACGUUAGGUUUAGCGAGAAGCUUGCUCAUAUUGUUGAAGUGAACAAAGCAACGUAUUUGAUUACAAUGUAGUCUUCUUGUUCGUCGUAAUCAACGCCAAUUUCGUCGAGGAAGAG